AGCGAACGCUGGCGGCAGGCUUAACACAUGCAAGUCGAGCGGGCAUCCUUGUGGUGUCAGCGGCAGACGGGUGAGUAACGCGUGGGAACGUGCCCUUCGGUUCGGAAUAACUCAGGGAAACUUGAGCUAAUACCGGAUACGUGCGAGAGCAGAAAGGUUUAUCUGCCGAAGGAUCGGCCCGCGUCUGAUUAGCUAGUUGGUGAGGUUAUGGCUCACCAAGGCGACGAUCAGUAGCUGGUCUGAGAGGAUGAUCAGCCACACUGGGACUGGGACACGGCCCAGAAUCCUACGGGAGGCAGCAGUGGGGAAUAUUGGACAAUGGGGGCAACCCUGAUCCAGCCAUGCCGCGUGAGUGAUGACGGCCUUAGGGUUGUAAAGCUCUUUUCUCCGGGACGAUAAUGACGGUACCGGAGGAAUAAGCCCCGGCUAACUUCGUG
rnacentral:rRNA from 1 species